CUGGAAGGAAUACAGAGGUCUUCUCAUCCAACCAUCUAAUCCAGAUGAGGAAACAAGCCCUUCACCAAGGAGCUAGUCCCACUGACAGUUAAGAACAACCAAAGUAAAGAUCAUUAACUCAAGACAACUGAGUUCACAUCCACUGAUGGCUCAGACUCUGGCAAGAGUCCCAGACUUCAACUGCACUUCCACUUGAUGAUGGCCCAGCUCCCUGAGGAUCGCAGCCUUGUUCUUUCAGGGGGAGAGGGCAUCACCUUAGUUAUGAACUCACCUGGCUUAUGUCACAGAGCAUCUGCUUCCCUCUCUGCCUCCCCUGGUCAAUAAAUUACCCACUAAGCUCA